rnacentral:lncRNA from 1 species
CGUGCAGCAGCGAGGCGGCCCGACGUCAAGCAGCAACAACACAGUAACGGGCAGCAGCGACAAUGCAACAGCUAGCGGCUGACAGUGGGGCCCACACGUCCUGUAAACAAUUUAAAAAAAACAGAAAAUAAAAAUGGGAAGAAGGCCACGGUCCUAGGCUUGGACCUGGCUUGGGCUUGGAGACGGGCCAGAGAGCGCUCGGCUG